rnacentral:rRNA from 1 species
GGGCGUAAAGAGCUCGUAGGCGGUUCGGUAAGUCGGGUGUAAAAACUCUGGGCUCAACCCAGAGACGCCAUCCGAUACUGCUGUGACUAGAGUGCGGUAGGGGAGCGGGGAACUCAUGGUGUAGCGGUGAAAUGCGCAGAUAUCAUGAGGAACACCAGCGGCGAAGGCGCCGCUCUGGGCCGUAACUGACGCUGAGGAGCGAAAGCAUGGGUAGCAAACAGGAUUAGAUACCCUGGUAGUCCAUGCCGUAAACGUUGGGCACUAGGUGUGGGUCUCAACCAACGAGAUCCGCGCCGUCGCUAACGCAUUAAGUGCCCCGCCUGGGGAGUACGGUCGCAAGACUAAAACUCAAAGGAAUUGACGGGGGCCCGCACAAGCGGCGGAGCAUGCGGAUUAAUUCGAUGCAACGCGAAGAACCUUACCAAGGCUUGACAUAUACCGGAAAAGCGUAGAAAUACGCUCCCCGCAAGGUCGGUAUGCAGGUGGUGCAUGGUUGUCGUCAGCUCGUGUCGUGAGAUGUUGGGUUAAGUCCCGCAACGAGCGCAACCCUCGUUCUAUGUUGCCAGCACGUAAUGGUGGGAACUCAUGGGAGGCUGCCGGGGUCAACUCGGAGGAAGGUAAU